rnacentral:rRNA from 1 species
GUUGGUGAGGUAAUGGCUCACCAAGGCGACGACGGGUAGCCGGCCUGAGAGGGCGACCGGCCACACUGGGACUGAGACACGGCCCAGACUCCUACGGGAGGCAGCAGUGGGGAAUAUUGCACAAUGGGCGAAAGCCUGAUGCAGCGACGCCGCGUGAGGGAUGACGGCCUUCGGGUUGUAAACCUCUUUCAGCAGGGAAGAAGCGAAAGUGACGGUACCUGCAGAAGAAGCGCCGGCUWACUACGUGCCAGCAGCCGCGGUAAUACGUAGGGCGCAAGCGUUGUCCGGAAUUAUUGGGCGUAAAGAGCUCGUAGGCGGCUUGUCACGUCGGUUGUGAAAGCCCGGGGCUUAACCCCGGGUCUGCAGUCGAUACGGGCAGGCUAGAGUUCGGUAGGGGAGAUCGGAAUUCCUGGUGUAGCGGUGAAAUGCGCAGAUAUCAGGAGGAACACCGGUGGCGAAGGCGGAUCUCUGGGCCGAUACUGACGCUGAGGAGCGAAAGCGUGGGGAGCGAACAGGAUUAGAUAC